rnacentral:rRNA from 1 species
UGGGGAAUAUUGGACAAUGGGCGAAAGCCUGAUCCAGCCAUGCCGCGUGUGUGAAGAAGGUCUUCGGAUUGUAAAGCAAUUUAAGUUGGGAGGAAGGGCAGUAAGCGAAUACCUUGCUGUUUUGACGUUACCGACAGAAUAAGCACCGGCUAACUCUGUGCCAGCAGCCGCGGUAAUACAGAGGGUGCAAGCGUUAAUCGGAAUUACUGGGCGUAAAGCGCGCGUAGGUGGUUCGUUAAGUUGAAUGUGAAAGCCCCGGGCUCAACCUGGGAACUGCAUCCAAAACUGGCGAGCUAGAGUAGGGCAGAGGGUGGUGGAAUUUCCUGUGUAGCGGUGAAAUGCGUAGAUAUAGGAAGGAACACCAGUGGCGAAGGCGACCACCUGGGCUCAUACUGACACUGAGGUGCGAAAGCGUGGGGAGCAAACAGG